rfam:Arabidopsis lyrata subsp. lyrata unplaced genomic scaffold ARALYscaffold_1, whole genome shotgun sequence.
GUUUGGCAAUGAUGAUGAAUUGUAACAGCUUGAUACGCCAGUUCUGCUUCAGAUAAUUCUUGAUCGAAAAAGCUUUAUUCCUAUCUGAGCCUUUA